GGCUUGGUGGUGUAGUGGUAACGUGCUCGCGUCCGUUGUAGCGUUGUUAUAUUGUUCUUGGUGAGUCUGGAGUUCAAUUCUCUGUCAAGCCA